GGAAGUUCCCAGGCUAGGGGUCAGAAUGAGAGCCAUAGCUGCUGCCACAGCCAAAGAAACACAGGAUGUGAGCCUUGUCUGCGACCUACACCACAGCUCAUGGCAACACUGGGUCCUGAACCCACUGAGUGAGGCCAGGGAUUGAACCUGCAUCCUCAUGGAUAUUAGUCAGAUUCACUUCCACUGUACCACAAUGGGACCUCCAAGGCUGCGAUUGUAAAUGUACUGAUCAGGGUAGAUGUGAUUGAGAAGCUGACAUUUGAGCAGAUAUUUGAAGGCCAGGGGAUGAGCCACGUGACUCUGUAGGGAAGGUGCCAGGUAGAAGAAACAGUGCAAAGGCUCUGAGGUGGGAUUGUGCCUGGUGUGAUCAGAAAUAAUGAGGAGUCCCAUGCGUCUGAAAUGGAUUAAACAGGAUUACAGUAGGUGGUGAGGUUAGAGUGUUAGAGUAAGCAUGUGGUUAAUCGAAGGGAUUUUUGGUUAAAUUCUAGUUUGUUAGUAACGUAGAUUUAGGAGUUCUUGUGUGGAGCAACAGACUAAGGAUCUGGUGUUGUCACUGCAGUGGCUUGGGUUGCUGCUGUGGCUUGGGUUUGAUCCUUGGCUGGAAAACUUCCACAUGCUGUGAGGAUAGCUCUCCCCCAUAUAUAAAUAUAUGUAAAAUAUAGCGUUAUGUUGUUAACUAUAUUGUCAUAAUUAUUUACUUAUAUUUGCCAUAUUAAAAUGUAAUGAUUAGUAAACAUGUAAGACUAAAGGUAUGAAUCUUAAAAUUUAUUAUGAGUCAUUUUGUUUGAGGAAUAAUGAGGAAUAACUUUAAGUUCUCUAUUUUUAACGUAGUAAUUUUCAAUUCUUUACAGAAUGAUUGGGAAAAAGUGCUUCGUCAAUUUGGUGAUAAGGACCAAAAGAUCCAGAACCUUGAAGCCUUAUUACAGGAGAGUAAAGAAAAUAUUUCUUUCCUAGAAAAGGAAAGAGAAGAUUUUAUGCAAAAACUCAGGCUGGUGAAGGAGAGACCGCUGUUCUUAAUCAGUUGCAGGAAGAAAACCAUAUAUUACAGGAACAAGUAACUCAACUAAAGGCCCAGGAGAAUUUGCAUGACCAGGUGCAAGAGCAGAAGGCACUUCUUAGAGCUGCACAAGACUGUCCUCUCCCUAGAAGCCAGCAUCAAUGAAUUAAAUAAUCAAUUAAAUGAAAGAAAGGAGAAGGUCUCCCAGCUUGACAUACAGGUAAUAUUGAAUUAUGUGACUUAAUACGAAGUUUGUAUGAAGAAAGCAUGUUUUAGGAUCACAUUUUGAACUGUUUCUCCCCCCUCCCUACCCUGUUCUCCUGCCUUACUUAUUAAUGGAAAAACAAAUAAGAAUAGGAAUUAAAUUAAGGUUCUGUUUUGAAAGUUUGUUGAACUUUUCUGUUUGCCUCUCUCUCUCUCUCAUUCUCUCCUUCCCCCUCCCCCCUUCCUCUUUCUCUCCUCUUGAAACCACCAAGUCUUUUCACUUUUCUGUUUUCAUGAAUCCCUUUUUGUUGUUUUUGAAGUUUAAAGCAAUUUGAUAUUAUACCAUUAGAUCUCUGUUACAUUUCUUUGAAUUAUUUUGAAUUUGAUUUUUAAAUUUUACUUUAAAGUUUUGAUUAAAAAAAGCCCUUAUAUGGUACCAUUAUGUAUAUUAGCAUAUUUUCUUUCAGAAGCCAAUAUGGAAAUCUUGCUCAGUGAGUCCAUCGAGGAGUGGGAAUUAAGAUGUAUUUCUUUCUCCAUUCUCAUCAUUGGUUUCUUACUCUAUACUGUAGUAAAGAAAGUUACUAGAAACAUUGCUAACACUUAAAUUUUUUUAGAAGAAUAAUUCCAUUGAAAAUCAGAAAUAAUACAAUAAGUUAUUCAAAUUUGGAAAAAAAAGAGGAUACCCAUUUCAUUUUUCAAAAAUAUAAUCUGUUGGAUGAGUAUCAAAUAAUUCAGUAUGUGGAUGCCCAGUGGAGAGGGAAGAGUGUUUUGGUGUUUUAUAGGGAUUUAUUUUUAUCUUUUAUCCAAAUAUUAGGAAUCUUUUCCCUUACUCAUCCUUGUUUGGGGAAUUAUCACAU
ensembl:lncRNA